GAUUAACGCUGGCGGCAUGCCUAAUACAUGCAAAUCGAACGAAGCACUUGUGCUUAGUGGUGAACGGGUGAGUAACACGUGGGUAACCUGCCCAAAAGAAGGGGAUAACAUUUGGAAACAAGUGCUAAUACCGUAUAACCAUGAUGACCGCAUGGUCAUGAUGUAAAAGGUGGUUUUGCUAUCGCUUUUGGAUGGACCCGCGGCGUAUUAACUAGUUGGUAAGGUAACGGCUUACCAAGGUGAUGAUACGUAGCCGAACUGAGAGGUUGAUCGGCCACAAUGGGACUGAGACACGGCCCAUACUCCUACGGGAGGCAGCAGUAGGGAAUCUUCCACAAUGGGCGCAAGCCUGAUGGAGCAACGCCGCGUGAAUGAAGAAGGUCUUCGGAUCGUAAAGUUCUGUUAUUAGAGAAGAACACGUGUAAGAGUAACUGAUUAUGCGUUGACGGUAUCUAAUCAGCAAGUCACGGCUAACUACGUGCCAGCCGCCGCCGUAAGAC
rnacentral:rRNA from 1 species